CUGGUGCUAGAAGCCUUGAUGCAGGCGACUGCCAUAAUGAAGCUAUGCUUACGAAUAAUGGUCCUUUCUUUACCCCAUGAAAGGCCGAAUCCGUUUUCAUAACUCGCGAUCGAAUCGUAGCUGUGAAAUUUCUUCAGAAGCAGUAGACAGAUGGCCAACGUGCGAGGAAGAAGCAAGGGGGAGAAAUACUGCUUCUAAGUUUGUUGUCCAGUUGUUGGGGGGCUUUUUUUGGUUCUGGUUUUUAAGAGAGAUAUGUCUGGAGUUGGGCUCAGAUGCGCAGAGGACGAUGCUUCUGAAAUGCUGGCGGUACGCCGGUCGUCGCUAUAUUGGCGGUUCGGUUCUCUCACGGUUGGAUCGAUUGCAAGUUGAAACCGGUUUGCGGACUGAAGGAAGUGACUGGAUGUGACGUCGUCUCGUCAGGGAGACCCAGAAACAGGAAUAACAAUGACAACCUUCCAUCAGUUGGUCUGUACACACCGGAAGAGAGAAGAUACGUAGGAAACAAAUAACAGGUCAACAAUAGUCUAAUGGAAAUACCUCACCUAUAACGUGAUGAGAAUAUAGUUUGAAAAAAAACAACAACAACAACAAGGAAGUUACUAACGAGAAGUGCUGUAAUGUAAAUCAGCGAAGACCGUGUCCGAUUGGUCACUGCUGUAAACGUCACCAUGGAUACCACAAAAAUGAGCCAAUUGAAACCACUGUACUGUGGAACGAAGGCAAGCAUACGAAACUGGGAAGACGCUAAUUACAAUGACAAGACGUUCACUAUUCCCUUGGAAACGAAAAUCGACCAAUGAAAACUGCUGUAUUAGAACACAAAGGGAAAUAUGGCCAAACGAUGGAUAAUUCGGUUGGAAAGCAUAACGUCAUUGUGCCUUGAAAUAUUGUUGGAAUAACUUUACAAUAAAUGUGCAGGUGCGUGUGCAGGGAGUGAGGGGUAAGGGGUAAGUGGUGGGUUCAGUGUCGAAAACCCACUGCUACAAGAAAAUUAAUUUUUUUCAAAAUAUUUUCCGGGGGAGCAUGACCCGACACCUUUAAAACGUUUGCUCGCUAGUCCAAACCUACCCCCUUAUAUAAUUCCCUGUACACUCACCUGAUGUAUAUUGUCAACAGAAGAUCGAAAUAAAGUUUGAAUUGUUA